GGGGGUGUUCUGGAUUCGACAUGUGUAGUAGCGUGUGAGCCGCACUUAGGGCCUUGUGUCCCUUUAAAACACACAGUUUAUUAUAACUGCAAAAAAUAAUAAUUCUUACGCAUUAGCUGCCUAAAAACAGUCUAAGCGUGAUCCAUUCUAGUUUCGCCCAAGGGUUGGAAAUGGGUCUCAAAUUAAUUGGGCUACGUUCAACUGUGCAUUCUGAAUAGUUGAAAAGAGAUUAUCAGGAUAGCUACUGUGGCUAGCCUGGUUGUAUGGCGUUCAUAGUAGCGAAACUUUAAAUGAUACAACUAUGAGUGUAGAAGCUUGCAUAGCAUUAUGCUUGGACAGGGGUUCAAUUCCCCUCACCUCCA
rnacentral:tmRNA from 1 species